CCGGCGCCCGCUGCGUCGCCCUGGAAGGACCUCGCCAUCUUCCCGCGUCGGCGGUGGCCGGUGAGCGGCUUCCGGGACCCACAGGUGCGCUGCGGGGAAGGAUGCUGCGCGCUCUGCUCCUGUGUGGGUGUCUGUGGCUGGUGGCUGGUGACGAGCACCACGAUGACUGGAUAGACCCCACGGACAUGCUCAACUACGACGCGGCCUCGGGGACCAUGAGGAAGUCUCAGGUGAAAUAUGAUACAUCAGGGAGGGAAGAGGGCAGCUCUGACGUGCCCUGUGCCAAUGAAUUGUCAGCGUGUUACAGCAAACUUGAGUCAUUAACUCAUCAGAUUGAUGAGUGUGAGAAGAAAAAGAGGGACGAUUAUGAAAGUCAAAGCAAUCCUGUUUUUAGGAGAUACUUAAAUAAGAUUUUAAUUGAAACCAGAAAGCUUGGACUUUCCGAUGAAGACAAAGGCGACUUGCAUUAUGACGCUGAAAUUAUCCUUACACGACAAACCCUAUUAGAAAUACAGAAGUUUCUCAAUGGAGAGGAGUGGAAACCAGGAGCCUUGGAUGAUGCCCUGAGUGAUAUCUUAAUUAAUUUUAAGGUUCAUAAUUUUGAAAGAUGGAAGUGGCGAUUUGAAGAUUACUUUGGAGUGGAUCCGUAUGAUGUGUUCAUGGUGCUUUUAUGCCUGCUGUGUGUUGUGAUGCUGAUAAUGGCAGCUGCAAAGCUGUGCAUGAAUGUUCGUUGGUACACACUGCUGGCAUUUGUCCUUUUCAUCAGUUUUGUCUUCAGUUUGGGAUGGAAUUGGAUCUAUUUAUAUAAGCUGGCUUUCGCUCAGCAUCAGGCCGAAGUCGCCAAGAUGGAGCCACUGAACAACGUGUGUGCUGAGAAGAUGGACUGGGCUGGAAGUCUCUGGGAAUGGUUAACAAGUACUUGGACCUAUAAGGAUGACCCAUGCCAAAAAUACUAUGAGCUCUUAGUAGUCAACCCUAUUUGGUUGGUCCCACCAGCAAAGGUAGUGACGCUUACGCUUACCAGCUUUGUCACGGACCCACUGAAGCACGUCGGCAAAGGCAUCGGGGAGUUUAUCCGAGCACUCAUGAAGGAGAUCCCGGUGCUGCUUCACAUUCCAGUGCUGCUGAUCAUGGCCUUAGCUGUCCUGAGCUGCUGCUAUGGUUUUGGGACAUCUAUUCAUAGGGUGAGGUUUUCUGGAGGUCCUGAGAGAGAGCCACCCAGGGCACUUCAGCCGGGUGACAGAAGACAGCAGCGGGAAAUUGGCUAUAGACCCCAUGCUGGAGCAGGUGAUGCAGAUUUCUAUUACAAGAGCCAGAUUGGCCCCAGUGAGCAGGGUCCUUAUGAAAACCCGUGUGAGGGCAGAACAGAUGCUUGGAGUCAGAGAACUGCUGACCUGAGGUUUCAGAUGGGCAACAAGAGCCCUGAAGUUCUCCGGGCAUCCGACUUGCCAGACUCAGAGGCGAAAGAGCAUCCCCCGGUGGUGCCCAGUCAUAAAUCACCUACUGUGGCUACAAAGCCCCAGGAGCCCGGCGUGAUCCCAGCAGCGCACGCCCUGAUGGAAAGCAGCACCCAGGGUGGCCAGGUGGCCCAGACUGUCUGUGACCAAGGAAGACCAGAGCCCGGGGAAGGGUUACCCGCAGCGGAAAAGGCCCCUCUCAGGACUGAUGCCAAAGGCAGCCCCGAAGAAUGCGGCCCAUGCAGCACAGGGGGCACCGCAGCAGGACUGUGCGCAGAGCAUCUGGAUGGCAGCCCGUGUGCUAGCGGCUAGUGGACAGCAGACGAGGCAUGGACACGGCGCCGAGGUUCUCUGGGUUUUGGAAAGUAUUGUCGUCACGGCUGUUUACUUUAGUCUCUCAAUAGCUCAUACUUACGACACUGUGCCAACUGAAACAGUAUUUUUGUUGAAAAUCAGAAUUAACAAAUAUCUGUAUGUAGAUUUUUAAAAUGUCAUUCUUUGAUAUUAAGAGACAUAGCACAAAACUUAGAUGUGGUAAUUUUGGAACAGGCUGUCAUGGUGAACGUGUGGCUGGAGUGAACUAGGGGACCUAGAAACAGCUUGUUGACAGGUACAUGUAGCAGCCAGUUAACCACCAUAUGCUGCCAAGUGGAAGUCCUACUAUGCUGACUUGCUACCGGACAGUUGGUAGCCCUGAUUUGGAUUCAGAUGUUUUCCAAGUGGUAGGUUUAUGAGCAGCAUCCAAUGUAGCCAAUUCACCUAGCUCUUCAGGUACAUCAGCUUCAUAGCGCAGCACAGAGCCUGCGUCCCCCGUCAGUUGUCUCUGGAGGCUGUGCACAGGUCAGUGGGCCUGCACUGUCCCGUCCCGCCUUCCUCUAAACGCCUGCAGCGGUUACUAGCCGGCUUUAUUCUCUGCUAAGAUGGCUGAGGUUGCUGGAUGGCACAGUAGACCUGUCAUCUCAGCUUUACACAGUCAGUAGACUGAGAAUGGCUUUAUCUCCUUCCUGUGCAGUGAGGUACACGGUUUCUGAGACUGAUUUUCCUUGCUACUCAGAAGCCCAGCAGCUAGAUAUCCCUGUACCAUGUGUUACAGCGAACCAUGUGCAGUUCCAAUUCUAAGACAUCGCUGCUUAGAAAGGACAACUGAUCAGGAAAACAGUGGAAUGUUCUUAACAGGCAGGUGAUACACAGUCAACAUUUAACUUAUUUUGAUUUUUAAAACUCUUCUUGUUUUAAACUUUUUUAAAAAGCAGUUUAUGUAUUUUAUACAAGGACCUAGCUAGAAAGCAAAUUUCACUUAUAUUCAGGUAUCCUUUGUUUUAACCUUCACACUACAAGUAUGUUUAGCUGUUUACUAAAAAUACUAGACAGGAUUAGUCUUAAUUUUUGUGCAGGUGUUUGUUUAAAAAAAAUAUUCAAAUCAUUUUUUUUUUUUUUAACAUGAAAUCAGAAUACCCCUUUUUGGCUCUCAGAAGCAUCAUAAUCUUAUGUGUCAGUAUUUUCUAGUAUAUUGUAACAAACAUCCUUAGUAUUUCAUCAGGAAGUUAAUCUUUUCCCCAGUGUGUGUUUGCAGGUAAUAUGGAAUAUAGCAACUAGCUAAUGCAGUAGCAGCAUCUCACCAAUGCAAUGCCUGCAGUCUGGGAUAGAUUUUGCAGAUCACCGCCUGUAAUGUAGUUCGCUCCAGGCACUAGGCCUGUUCGCACUGGCUGUGACUGUGACUGCUGCAAGGUGAGGGCUGGCCUCUGAGCUGUGAUCUGAUUCCAAAGCGAAGAAAAUGCUGGUGAUAAGUCAGGAGAGUGAAUGUUGCUUACACUCCCGACUGCUUUCUCUCAAAAACAAUCGUCAACAAAAUAUUUAAAAUUUUAUCUGUGUAUUUGCAUUACAGAUAACCAUUUGGGGACGAAGCCUUUGACAUCCAGCAAGGCAUCAUGGCUACUGCUGUUGAAUGAUGGCAGUCAAGGCCGGUUAGAGAGGCUUGUUUAUGGUCUAGUUAGUACUUAGUUAAAAUCAUGGACUGUCGUGUAAGUUCCUAGGGAAAUCAGAAUGGGGUAGACAGCUUUUAAGGGUUUUUUAAUGAAAAGAGGUUAAAUGUUUACAGGGCAUAAGAACUGCCACAUUAAAUAAACAUUUUUACAUUGCGGUUUGGUAUGCUUAUCGUUGCUCCUUGAACAUGCUCAUAAAAACCCCGUGACAUUUCUGUAGUUUUUAAAAGUAUGGUAGCGAGUAUUUUAAUAUCCUACAUAUACUAUAUAAAACAUGCUAAUCCAGGUGUUAACUGAUCUUAGAGUCAAGAAUAAUCCCCACCCCCUCUUAGCUCUGAAUGUGAUUCUAGGUUAACUGUAUUUCUUUUAUUUUUUUAAACAUUGGCCAUUUGGAGAAGCAGUUCUCAAUGUUUGCCCAUCAAAACUACCUGAAGGAUUUUUAGAAAGAACAGAGGCCCAGAUUCCAUCACAGCUGUACGGAAGCAGCCGACGGUGACGGAAAUGCCAGCUUGCUUCAGGUGUGGGUAUUUGCAUUAUGCUUUACGGUCCAGGGUCUUUUCUGUCUUGUUGAGUUUUGCGAAACUUAGUGAGGUCCUAGUAAAUCCCUUCAGUUUCUGGGAGGAGGCUGAGGCUUAAAAUCACGCUUGAUUUUUGAGUUUUCUAUUUCAUACUACUACAUUAGUGUUUGUUCUUGUUAUUAGGUCCCAUAAAAGUUUCGCAAUGGGAGAUACAAUUUUAAAUCAUUUUAUUAAAAAGCAUGCUAGAAGAAAUUUUUUAUAAUGACUGUGGCCUGAAGGUUUUUUUUUUGUUUUGUUUUUUAAUAUACAAUGUAUGCUUUCUCAUCUCAGUGCUGGUCCCUGUGACGCUCCCACCACCCGUUCACCCAUGCUCUUCCCACCUGUCAUGAUCCGGCAGAAUGUCUCUGGUUUAUAGCUGCUUCUUGAUUUUGAUUUUCACUUUAUUAUAACUUUUUUUGAAAAAGAUUAUUUAUGCAUACAAGAGCUGGGAUACAGGCCAGAGAUGUGGGGCGUGAGAGGAUUCACCAGAGAUAGAGUGGGGAACAGAACAGGCAGACUGACUGAAAUGCACUGCUGAGGGGAGCAGCGGGCGAGACAGGAGAGGUCUGCUACGCCAUAUGGGUAGCUCCCUGGCAGGCCAGGGAUCGAGCUCGUGCUGCAGAGGCUACGGAUUGCUUCACAGUGCCGUGAAGGGCUUAUUAACCCCUUGUGCCACCAGGGAGGCCCUAUUAUAACUUUUUUUCUUCUCCCUGAUCCCUUAUGUAGAGCCCCUACAUUCCUCCUAUAAGUGAAACCAUCCAGUUUUUUUCUUUCUGGCUUAUUUCACUGAGCAUGAUCCCUUCCAGCUCCAUCCAUGUUGCUGCAAAUGGCAUGAGUUUAUCUUUUUUUGAUUGCUGACUAAUAUUUCAAUGUAUGUACCACAUCUUCUUGAUCAGUCAUCUAUUUUUGGGUGGUUUCCAUAGCUUUCCUAUUGUAAAUAGUGCUGCUGUAAACAUAGGGGUAGCUACUGAAGGUAGAUUUUCUUAAAGGAGAAAAACUUUAGUUUUGGGGACUACUCAACAUUUUUACAUGUUUGUUAGGUACAUUAUUUUUACUGAACAACAUAAUUUCUCAUAACCCAUGGUUAAGUAUAAAAAAUGCCUAUUUUUUAAAACUUAGGAAAUUAAAUCCUAGACUAGAAUUUAAUACUCUUACUUUACAAACACUAGCUAAAGGAAUACACUCCCAUGCAGUACUCACAAAAGUUGAAGCACCUUUAUAGACACCGCCACCCUGAAGUGUCCAGAGGAAUGUUGAUAUUACACUAGCAAAGGCUAAGUAUUUACACUAUUCUGAAAACAUUUUAGCCUAUAUUACAGUGCCAUGAUUUCUCCUUUUAAGGAAAAUGAUAGACUGAAUUUCCCUGCAGUGUUCUGAGAGGAAAUAAGGUCACUUUUAAAAAUACAUCCAUGGUAACUAGUGGUUGCUUAAUUUUUUCCUGAAUUUUUAAGGUCCACCAAAGCACUACAUUGCAAACGGUCCUUUAGCCCAAAUUCAGUGUCUCUGUUUUGAUCUCGUUGUAAAAGAACUCUCUGUUCAUCCAUUCUUUUUGCCUGAGACCGUAAAAUAAGGCUGAAAAAGUCCUCAUCUGGUACCGUUGGUCCCUUCGAGGCAGCAGGCGGUGGGGCGCAUCUUUGAUCGUCGAGUCGGGACCCCUAAAGAUGCAGGAGAGGAGCGUGAGCAUGUCCUUUAGCGUUUUAUGUCUGAUGGACUCCGGAAAACAACUGAUCAUCUACUACACAGCAAACCCUUCCAAAUUAGACCUCCGGUACGGCCGAGGCUCUCGACCUCCGGGCUAUGUGCGGCACCACAUCGACUUACUUGACACUUUACAAGGAUGUCAAAGAAGUCUUCACCAGGCUCUCUGGUGUCGCCAGUCAUCAGGUGGCCAAGUACCGACUGCGUGUUGUUCUGUGUCAGACGAAGCCCUGGCAAGUUAUUGACGCUGGCUCUCUGGUCAUCAAGACGGCGGCUCUGUGAGCUGGCAAGAAGAUCUAAAAACUCAUCUGUGUUGGGGGACACCACCGAAACUGAUGGUGCUACGAGUAGGGAAAAAAACCCAAAAUAUAUGUAAACAUUUGGUACUUGCAGAUAGAGCCUUUCUGCCUUGUUCAGCCCCCACAGCUGCCCUGUCCUCCUGCUUUACCUCUUCACUGAGAGGCUGGGCCUGACCGGCUGGAUGGAGAGGGACAGAGGAACCCAAGUACUUCAAGUGACCAGUUGGAGGUUUCUCAGCUUGGACCAUGUUUCCUUUACAAGAUACAGAGCUGCCUUAUAAAACUGGAAAGAUAGCCACUAAAUCUAGGUCAGUAAAUCACCUUUCUUACGUAAUUUCUCAGAUCACGAUGAAUGGGAAAGUGUUUUUAUUCCUGUUUUGAAUGGUACAAACAACUCUUAGAUUAGCUAACUGACCUUAAGUGUAAAUCCUACUAGCAAAGAAGUCUUUUUGGUGGCUGAAAUAGAAGAGUUUAACCUAUUUUAGACUUUUGUUAAGACUCAAACAGGCAUUAAGAAACUUCAGUUGUAGCUGAAGCUAUGGGUUACUCUAGUCUGCGUGUUUUUCUUUAAUUCAGAUAUGAAGCAUUUGUACUUUUUAUACAAAUAUAAGGUACAUAUAUAACUAUAGUUUUAGAAGUUAUAAAAUUUUUCCCAACCCCAAAACAACUAAGGAGGCAGUAUUACAGAUGGUUAACAGAAGGUGUGCUGGACCAGAAACAUCAUCGGCUCAGAAGUGAAAUAUUCCUAUUUGAACUGUACAAAUACUAGCAUUUCAUAUAUCCCUAGAUGUAUUUAUCUCCUGUGAAGAUAACUGAAUUCCCAGAAAUAGACCACAAUAAUAAAGGGAGCUAUGAAGAUUGGGGGAGAAGCAUAGAUAACUUACUUUUUAGCACUUUGUGGGGCGUGGAGGAAGUCGCUGUUGAAGCUGCUCCGUGAUUCCGUCCCUGCAAGCAGCACCUCUGAUCAUCCAUCCGAUUGCUUUGAAAUCGACUUAACAGGUCAAAGAAGCCUUCGUCUCCAAUGGUAUCUGCACUGAUUUUCUAAAAUAUUGAGAGAAAAUUUAAAUAUUCCAGGAUGAUGAGUAGGCUUAUCAGUGGAACAAAUUGAUACAAAAGGUAAUGUGAAGAUUAAAAAUAAAAAUUGACAUGUUCUUUAUAAAAAUAACCACUUGAUGACAACUUCUUUGACACCCUUGUAAAAACUUAUUUCAAUCUAAGAGCAUUUCUAUUUUAGUUUUCAUUCUCUGUAUCCCUAAGGCUAACGCAGUGUGCCUCAGAGUCCAUAAACUGGUACAGAUGCUUCAUAAAUUAGGCAAAUAUCAUACCCCAGGCUCAUUAAGACUCUUACAACAGCAUUUAAGUGAUCUAAGAACUGAUUAAGAAAGCACGUGCAUUAUCCCAGCAUAGUGAUUUCCAAGGUCUUAUAUUUGAAGAUACCAGAAAAAUAAAUUAUUUGGGGAAGAGGAAACCUGCCAUACUUUACUUAGAAGGCUUAGAAAACUAAACUGUUUUACUGAUAUACAUAGUAUAAUAGAAAUACAUAUAUAUAAAUUAUUACGGUCUAACUACUACUCUGGAAAUAAGAUUUUUGAGUUGGCACCUGAUGAUGAGCAGGCAUUUGCAGGCACAGUUUCAUACUGAAUAUUUCAAAGGUUUACAGUACUCUCUGGAUGAUUAGCCUUCUGUGUGUGCGAAAUAAGAACACUGUUAAUAGUCAGUGGUAAGUGGUUUUUUACAGAACUGGCCCCUCUAAUGGACUGGAGGGCUUAAUAAUUCGAGAUCAGUACAGGUGCCUAUUCCAAAAGUAUGGGUACAAGAUCGCUAUUUUUUUUUAAAGGGGCAGGGGAAGAAUGUGAGGAUACGGGAAUGACUAGAUCUCUGAAUAUGGUUAGUGAAGGAACGGGAAGUUUAUAGACACCUGAGUUGCUAACUUGGUUGACAAAGUACAUGGCAUUCCUGUAACUGGAAGAAAGACAGGAAGGGUUCAGAGUACAACCGUCAGCAGCUGAUUUUGCAGUCUGAGAAUGGCAUGCACACAAGCUGUGGUCAAAUGCAUUAGUCACUGCAAAAAUACUAAUUCAUGUUCUGAACAUCAAAAUACACAAUGGUUCCAGAACUAUAAACAUUUUCAGUUACGCUCAAUAGGCUGUUUUGACUUCAAACUUGGGACAAAGGUUUUUCUUGAAUUGCAGUUGUGCUUAUUAUGUCAGUUAAGGCAAAGGUACGAGGAUGCAGAUAGAUGGAAGGCUGACAAGAGAACCAAUAAGGGUCUGUUUAAAAAAUAAGACUAAAUCUCUUAAAAGGCCCUUAUUGCUUGAAAAAUGGAUUUGAUCACCUUUGUCAUUUAUUAUGAUGCUUAGCUAGAUUAGAGGCACCCCUGAACUUACCAGUAAACUCGUGGUAUUUUUAUUUCUAAUUAAGUUAUAUUUAAUAAUGUAAUUCCUACGUUCAUUUUUCAUCAAAAUAGUUCACUAUAAUUUCAAUAAUAUAAAAUAGAAGUUGAUGUUAGCAAGCAAAAUUCUUCAUUUUAAAUCUGUAUGUAGCAAUCAUGAACAUCUGAAUUUAAUUUAUUCUGAUUUCUGAGCUGAACGGAGGAUGAUUUACUGGGAGUACUGCAAUGAAAUAAAAGGUAGUAUUUUUGCAAACAAUAGUAACUGGAAACAAAUACUGUCCAAACAAGUACUGUCAUAGACUUAGCUAUGAAUGAAGUAAUUUCUGUUUUUAGCUUUGAAGAAGACAGGAAAGGGAAAUGUAGAAGACUUCUUUGAAAAACAGAUAUUUUGUAUUAGGUGUCUUAUGUAGAGUUACUAAAAAAUUCAGUGUGAACACAAGAAAAACGAUACUUAAAAACUUGUUUUAAACAUACCCUCUGAGAAUUUGAAAUUCGGUGAUCAAUGGAAUUACUGGCAUCUUGGAGAACUUUAGUGGAGGAAUUAGUUUUGUAUUUUUUCCCCUUCAAUCUGUUCACAAAGAGUAGCUUUGCAGAAGGUUUGGCAAUAAGUGGUUUUUGUUUAACAAGAAUUUCACUGUUCCAGUUCUGUACCUACAGAAUUACAAACACAAAUGGUAAGCAAGAUAGGAAAAAGAACAGUAAAGCUAUUUCUCAUUUCCUAUAUUAACCUGCCAUCUUCACUCAUUUAGUACUGAAAGGCUGAAAUAUCUUAAAUUCCUACUGUCAUAUAUCAUUAUUUUUAGUAACUCAUACCAAACGUAUAUUAUGGAUUUCUCAUCAGAACGUUAAAAUGGUAGUUGAAGAACGAGAGAAUAAGAAAACAAAAUUGGCCAAAAUCCCAAAUAAAUGAAAUGUGAAUGGUGAGGAAUUUUUUAUUCUGGAUGUGAAUUACUUAAAAAUCUAUUACCAAGAGUAACAGUGGACAUUGUGGAUGUAUGUAGAAUUUUGAACUGUACAAACGAACACCCAAAACACAUAUAUAGCACUGUUAAUUUUUCUUUUGAUAAAAUUAUUUUCAGCUAACCAUAUUUUAAAAUUUUAAUAGGCAAGACAUUUAUGAGCAAUUUAUCUAGUUCUAGUUCUGUUUUUAUUUAUUUUUAUUUAUUUGUUUAUUUAUUUGUUUGUUUAUACAAGCACUGGGUACAGUCAGAAGCGUGGGAGGGUGAGAGAAUUCACCAGAGCCAGAGCAGGGAGCAGAGCAGGCAGAAGGACCAAAGUACACUGCUGAGGGGAGCAGCGGGUGGCAGGAGAGGUCUGCGCACCAUGUGGGACCCUCCUCCUGUGGCUGGGGAGCAGCCGGGGAUCGAUCCGGCGCCACAGAGGCCACGAGGAGCUUCGCAACCCAGCGCUCAACCACUGCGCCACCGGGGAGGCCCUAGUUCUGUUUUUAAAUAAAACAACUUCUAACAGACACCAAAUAACAAAUAUUGGAGUGCAGAUAUGGGGAGUAGCUCUGUGACAUUUUCCACUUUAAAAGGGACACCUCCAGGAGAAAGCAGCAGUUUCCACAGGCCAAGGGCUGAGUCCCCACAGAGCUGCAGAUGCCAGUCACCAACCCCUGCUGUUCACUGUGCUUCUGGCCAACUGACUAUAGAGCAAGAGCCCUUGCUCGGGUUCAACCCAUUUGCUGGCGCAGCUCACAGAACUCAGAGCACUGAGUUGCUGGAUCACCAGAUGACCUGCUCACUACAGAGGACACUGAGUAUCAGGCUGCUAAGAGACACACGGGAAGCAGUAUGGGGAACGGGCACUGAGCUGCCAUGGUCUCUUCAGGGGCACCAAAUUCCUACCAUCUCUACCUGUUCAUCAGCCCGGCAGCUCUCCCAGGCCCUUCCUUUAGGGUUUUUCCUUUAGGGUUUUUAUGGAGGCUCUAUCCCCAUAGGGAUGGCUGAUGAAAUCACUAUCCAGUCCCUCUCUCCUCCCUGGAGAUCUAGGGGUGAGCCCUCUAAUCAUGAGGCUGGCAACCAGCCCCCAUCCACAGAUGCUUCCAAAAGUCACCUCAUUAAAACGACCUGAAACAUCUUUAUUACUCAACAUUGAAAAUUACAAGCAUUUUGGGAGCUCUGAGUCGGGAACUGAAUGAAGACCAAGUAUGUAUGAAAUGGUAUCUGGAUAACCAAAUUACGCUUUUCCUAUAAAUUCCAGUAUCACAGGAGGAAAAAGACAUUUUUUAGACAUCCAACUGCACUCCUUCCCAAGAAGUAUCUUAAUCUGCAAGUCUCCAUUUUUCCUGUAUAUACUUCCUUAUUUGAGGGUACUGAAAUAAUGAAUUCGUUGAUAACAUCCAAAAAAAAAAAAAAAAAAGCCUACACCAAGAACUAAUUCCACUCAAACAGAUUUUAAAUCAGAGAAACUUGAUUGUCAUUUGUCGCUUGGAAAAUUACAGAGUGGAGUCCGUCAGCCUUUCCGUGGGCUACUGUUAGUGCCCGUCAGUGGGAGCCCAAGGGGGCAGACUCGUUUGGCUACUGAGCAGCAGGUUCCUACAAGGAGGAAAGUAGACCUAAAUUAUUUGUUUUCAAAAAUACUUUGUAGAUUUAAAAGAUUUGGGAGCAACUCACAAGAGAUGGGUAUGUGAGAAAAUCAAAGUCCUUUGGAAGUUAACCAAAGUUUUGAAACAACUGGAAUUGUUUGGAGCUUUCAAACUUGUGGAUGUCAAGUCCAGAUCAGAUGCUGGGCUCAUGAGUGCUACACGCACUAAGUCAGAAUGCUCGAAAGUCAAAAUAUUAAAGUCAUAUGCCUGUUAUAACAAUAAGGUAAUACAUGUACAUGGUUGGUAUUUAACAUGAAAAGAUGUUCUAAUAGCAGCUAAUAUUAAUAUGAAAAUUUAAGGUGAAUAAAUAAAAUGGCUACCAUUAGGAGGUGGGAUUAAUGAUCAUUUUAAUUUCUUUGUUGGAAUUUUCUAAUGUUAUAACGAACAUAUUAGAAGUAUUUUAAAAACACUGUAAAAGAAUAAACCUGCUGUAACAGUGAAACAGCUGGAAGAAAGUAGCUGAAGAUUCAUUCUUCAGAAACCUUUUUCCAAUUAAGUUCCUCCUCUUAAAAAAAAAAAAGGCUAGAGAGGGCACAUCUUGAGUAAAAAGUAAUUUGUUAAAGUUUUCAAAAAUGUAGUUGGAAAUAGUCUCUUGAUAAUAAUUAUCCAUCAUCUUAGCCAAAAUGUAAACUCGGGAAAACGUACACUUCCUGGCCCUUGUUUGAUUUUCCUAAUAUUUUAAUUUAAAAAAACAAACAUAAUACAUCUACACAGUAAUAAGGUAUUUAAGCAGUUCAAGCUGUUACUGGUUAUAUAUUUCUCUCUGUAUUAUAUAUACGAUUUUUUGUCCUUUUCUCAGAGGCAACCAUUAACAAGUAUCUUAUAGGCUCUUCCAGAAAUGUUUCACACAUCUGCAAAGGCUAUAUAUGCCUUAAACCGCCCGCAGCAUACUGAAUGCAUGUGUAUACUGUGCUUUUUUGAUUUUUAAAUGAAAAUUUUAAAAUGAUAUAUAGGACAAGACUUAUUUAAACAUUUUCACUUAAAGUAAAAGUUACUAAAAAUUCAAGAAAUUUAAGUUACUAAAAGUUCAAGAAAUUUAAGACAUGAAAAUUGCCAACCUUUUCUGGUGUCAACUUCAUAAGCUCCAUGUUUUCCAUACUGUGCCGUCGUCCAAACUUAGGCCGUGUGCCUUUGUUUAAAACAAAAACAAGAAAACAGUAAAAUAAACUAGGGAGCCCUCCAGGUUACAACUGCUGCAUGGCUGUCACGCAGUGUUAAAGUCUCUUCUACAAACCCGCGUGAGAGGAGGAGACAUGUAAUGCAGCAUGUGUUCCUUUAAGAAUAGUAAUUUCCCUUACCAACUACAUAAAAAUAGAACCUCCACACCCCCUAAAAUGCUUUGAUGAAAGGAAGCUACAUUUUGGUUGGAAACUAACUUUGGUUACUAACAUUACCCCUUAAUUUAGGAAAGGAGUUUUGAAAUAACUGGUUUAGUAUGAGCCACAGUCUCUUAAAAAAAAAAAAACAAAAACAAAAACCCAAACAAGCUGUAGAGCAGAUUAAGGAACAGGCUUUGAGGCCUUUGAGAAUCCCCAGCACUACACCGUUACUCCUUUCUAAAUUAUCCUUUUCCAUUUAAGAUCUGGCUUCUGCCAGUCAGAAAGAAAAAUACAUCCUCGGGGGGUUUUUUCAAGAGUUAUUAAAAACUGAAUUUUCAUAUCCAAUCUUUUUUAAGAUUUUAAAAAGUCAUAAUUUUAAAAAGGCAUAAUCUAUGGAAAAACAUGACACCUAAUACCCAGCUUAAGAAAUGAAUCAUUACUGACACAUUAGAUACCCCUUAAUAAAACUCCCUCCAUUCAUUUUCCCCUUCCCUGCAGUUUUUUAUAUUUUCUCUACGUGUCUGUAUCUGUAAGCAACACGGACUACGUAACAUGAUAGAAAUGGUUUCAUCUGUUAUGUUCUGUAACUUGCUUCCUUUGAGCAAGCUUAUGUUUGUGAGCUUCAUCCAAGUUAUUAAUGUAGUUUUAUCAUUUUAGGGCUAGCACAUACUUUACCCAGUUGGUGACAAAUAUUUAGGCUGCUUCCAAAUUCUUUGACAUUAUGUACUCCGGAAACCUUGGAAAUGCCUCUUAGUAUGUGCAAGCUCGUGUUCCCUCUGGUUUGGACAUCAAAGUUACAUGAUUGGGAGAAGAACUGUUGGUUCAUCUUGAACUUUUCCAGAGUGUUGCCAGAUUUUUUUUUUUUUUUUAGCAUUUGCUCAUUUUUUUUUUUUAUUUUAGCAGUGUUUAUGGAAGUUAUAUAUUAGAUGACGUUAUUCUUGAAUAUUCUCCAUUGCUUCUUCCUUGUGUUGGCCCUUUUCCUUUCCCACUUGAUGCGAUCUGGCUUCACGUUCUAGGAUCUUUUUGCAGACUUUGUCCAGUGUUAGCCUAGGGAGAACCACCCUCCCAGGGUGAAUGCCGGGAAUGGCUGUGCCAGCCUCCUCCCGCUGCACUCCUUCAGCUAAGCUGGCGCCUUUCUGCCUGUCAGCCUGGACCGCUUGGCAGAGCUGCUGCCCUUGAGAGUGUCCUUUACCACCUGAACUCCAUCACGCCUUAUGGAUGGGCACGGAGCAGACACCGUCUCAGCAUUAUGGAAAGAGGGGAAGACACCAUCUUCCUCCGAAUGUGGGGCGGUGCGCCGACGUGCUUUUUAUGGCUCUUGCUCCAGUCGGAAGUCGCAAAGGGAUCGAACCUCAUUCUGGCCACAGGGGCUUCAGCAAUGGCUGCAAAAGGACUAGAAUCCACAAACUUCUUUUUUUGGUAAAGUUUCUAUUCCCAUCAACACUAAGGGCCUCCAUUCGUCUACAUCAUUUUUUAACAGUGGCGCUGUCAGACUUUUAAAUUUUCAUGCCGCCUCAUAGUUUUCACUAUUACUUCACUGUGAUUGUCCCUGAUUAAAGUCACCUAUCUUUUCACAUAUUUAUGAGCUAUUUGUGUAUCUUCUCUUCACCACUCUUGCCUAUUUUUUAUUUAGGUAACUUGACUUGUUUUUAAUUCAUAGUUUUCCCUACACAUUUGAAUGCAAAUCCUUUUUUUUAAUCAUAUGCUGCAAAUAUGUCCUUGCAAUUUGUGUUUUAUCUCUUUAUGGUUACUCCAAAUGAGAUGAAGUUCUUAAUUUCAGUGUCCGUCUUUUCCUUGAUGGUUUUAUCUGUGUAUCUUAAGAAAUCCUCUCUGAAAUUCAUGACAAAAGCUAUAAAAUACUAUUUUCUGUAUUGUUAAAUUAACAGGACUAUGGUAAAGCAAAAAAGGUAUAAAAAGUUUUCUAUGUAACGUUCUCUCAGGAUCUGAUAAACAUAAUAAAUAAAUGUAAAUUUUUAGGAUGGGGUGUUAGAAGACCUAUUACUUACCAUGUAAACUGUUAUCAAUUUCAAUAUUUUCUGACAUUAUUGAAUUAUUCGUGCUGUAGCUCAGACCAAGAACCAUUUGCAGAUCUGAGAGAUUCAGUCGUGCCGUUAGCUCACCACUUCUAUCCCCAACCUACAACCACAAGCAUUUAUACUUUAGCAUUGAAAGACAGUCAGUGAAAGAUUUGUUUAGACUGUUGUGAACUUAAAACUGGAAGAAAACAGAAAUGAACAUAGUAUAUUAGAAGUA